UACGGCUAAUUGUACUGUAUUCCAUCCAGCUUCACAACUUUCACGCGUUCUGUGUGAGCGCAUGCAAGGCGGAAAUGUCGAACUUUUUUUGUCUGUCAUCCCCUAAUGGGAGUAUAUCUAUUUGGAGCGGAUAGCGGAUCGCGGGUAAAAGAGCGGGUCGCGCGUAAUUAAAAAAGGAGCGGAUAAUUUCUCGAGGAGCUAUG